rnacentral:rRNA from 1 species
ACACGACUACAUUAGAUACCCCCGUAGUCCCAGCCCUAAACGAUGCGCGUUAGGUGUAUCGGUGACCACGAGUCACCGAGGUGCCGAAGGGAAACCGUGAAACGUGCCGCCUGGGAAGUACGGCCGCAAGGCUGAAACUUAAAGGAAUUGGCGGGGGAGCACAACAACGGGUGGAGCUUGCGGUUUAAUUGGAUUCAACGCCGGAAAUCUUACCGGGACCGACAGCAACAUGAAGGCCAAGCUGAAGACUUUGCCGGAUUAGCUG